UACGUAGGUGGCAAGCGUUGUCCGGAAUUAUUGGGCGUAAAGCGCACGCAGGCGGUCUGUCAAGUCGGAUGUGAAAUCCCCGGGCUCAACCUGGGAACUGCAUCCGAACUGUCAGGCUAGAGUGUGGUAGAGGGCAGUGGAAUUCCACGUGUAGCGGUGAAAUGCGUAGAGAUGUGGAGGAACACCAGUGGCGAAGGCGACUUUCUGGUCUGUAACUGACGCUGAGGCGCGAAAGCGUGGGGAGCAAACAGG
rnacentral:misc_RNA from 1 species